rnacentral:lncRNA from 1 species
CCAAUUUCAGAAAUUUCGGCAUGGCGGCUCUGCCGUGCUCCGGCGAUGCCACCGACACCUGCGGUGGUGAUCCACCUCGAGUUGGCUGUUUUCGACCGUUUCCAGCCGAAUUCACCAAACUAGCACUAUUUCCUGCGAGAAAACACACGUAAGGCCCUCGGUGGGUCGAAAAAACUCAAAUAAUCGAGACUUACAAGCAGCGGAGCCCUCAGGUGUGGCGGCUCCUCUGGUGCGAGUCAAGAUUUGGUGUUUUGCUCCGGUCAAUCUGUAGAGGAAAGGAUGAUGGUCACAGUGAUAUAAAAAUUACAUCGAAUGGGAAUCGGGAAGAGCCUCAUCGGAGGCAAAAACUGAGGAAACUUGCAGCGGCAUCGCUGGGCUUCGACAGUAUUUUUUGGCCAAUUGGCUGGUGGUUUGGCUCCGAUUUGGCCACAGGCGGGUUUAGCAUCGAAAUCCAAGCCAAAAGAAAAUUUUUUACCUUGUUUGACGGCCAAAAAGUGCUCCGGUGCAGCGGUGGGUGGCGGCAGUCGAUUUCUCCAGUGGCUGGGCUGUCUUCUCCGGCAAGGGCUCUGGCGGCUAGGGUUUGGGGUUGGGUGUGGAUGAGAUUAUUUAUAACCUUCCCCUUUUAAUCUGAGCCGUCCAUUACGAU